rnacentral:rRNA from 1 species
UCGCCGCGCAUACAUGUGGCGCACAACGAGUUUCCUAGGCCGAUAGGAUUGUCUCCUAGUCUGCAUCUAUAAGAUCGAGGCAACAUCACUGCACACAGUGGUUUCGAUCACGUGUCGUUGCUUAUUGUGAUGCUGGUGGUAUUGUCUCAGCUAGGAGACACUGGGCAAUCUGAGAGAGCGCUACGUGACUGGGCUAGACUUUUGUAAUUGUUGGUCUUGAACGAGGAAUGCCUAGUAAUCGCAGGUCAUUAUCCUGCGAUGAUUAUGUCCCUGCCCUUUGUACACACCGCCCGUCGCUCCUGCCGUGGCUCGUGCCGGUGAAGAGGGGGAGGCAGCGUCAACAGGCUAACCCCUGAUUGUACGUGGAACCCCUCUGAACCUUCGCGAGUAGAGGAAGGAGAAGUCGUAACAAGGUUUUCGUAGGUGAACCUGCGAAAGGAUCAUUAUCGGCAAAUUCAAACUACUACUCUGUCUUUGCACUCUUUGUGUGUGUGAACAUAUAAGCUUUGUAAAGACGCAUAUGACUAUGUAAUAAUAUUGUUCUAAAGCAUGCGUAGUGGACGGCUCGGUUCCCGUGUCGAUGAAGGACGUAGCGAAAUACGAAAGGUGUUGCGAAUUGCAAGAUUUCGUGAGUCAAUGAAUAUCCGAAUGCAUUGUCGUCCCUUCGCAGCUUCGGUUGCAAGGGGUGCGUCGGCAACAUCGGCUAAUUGUCGACCUUCAUAGUCUCUCUUGCACUGUCACGAGGUUGCUGGAUUCUAUGAAGCAGUGGUUCAGUGAACAAGCAUUUCAUUCAAUGUGGCUGUGCUUGUGACGACUUCCUCUCACUAUCGACUAUUGAUUGAGAUCAACGACAGU